GCUUGCUUGGCUCAGUUGGUUAGAGCGCAGGUCUCAUAUAUAUCGUAUGACGAGUGUACACUCGGUAAUCCUGAGGUCGCAAGUUCGAGCCUUGCAGCGAGCA